GUCUUAUUGAAAAUAAUUUUAAGUCGAUCUGCCCAAUGAAUUUUUAAAUGGCUGCAGUAUAAUUAACUGUACAAAGGUAGCAUAAUCAAUUGAUUUUUAAAUGAAAUCUAGAAUGAAAGGAUUAAUGUAAUAUAUACUGUCUCAAAUAUAUUUAAUGAAUUUAAAAUUUUAAUAAAAAUGUUAAAAUUUUUUUAUGGGACGAUAAGACCCUAUAGAAUUUUAUAUUAAUUAUUUUUUAAUAAAAUAAAAUUUUAAUUAAUAUUUAAUUGGGAGGAUUAUUAAAUUUAAUAAACUUUAAUUUUUAUAAACUUUAAUUAAAGAAUAUAUAAUGAUCUUAAAAUUUAAAUUAUCAGAAUAAAUUACCUUAGGGAUAACAGCGUAAUAUUUUUUUAUAGAUCAUAUAGAAAAAAAUGAUUGCGACCUCGAUGUUGAAUUAAGAUAAAUUUUAAAUGCAGGAGUUUAAUAAUUAAGUCUGUUCGACUUUUAAAAUCUUACAUGAUUUGAGUUCAAAUCGACGUAAGU
rnacentral:rRNA from 1 species